rnacentral:misc_RNA from 1 species
GAUGAAGAACGUAGCGAAAUGCGAUACGUAAUGUGAAUUGCAGAAUUCAGUGAAUCAUCGAGUCUUUGAACGCACAUUGCGCCCCCUGGUAUUCCGGGGGGCAUGCCUGUCCGAGCGUCAUUGCUGCCCUCAAGCACGGCUUGUGUGUUGGGCCUCCGUCCUCCUCCCGGGGGACGGGCCCGAAAGGCAGCGGCGGCACCGCGUCCGGUCCUCGAGCGUAUGGGGCUUCGUCACCCGCUCUGUAGGCCCGGCCGGCGCCCGCCGGCGACCCCAAUCAAUCUUUCCAGGUUGACCUCGGAUCAGGUAGGGAUACCCGCUGAACUUAAGCAUAUCAAUAAGCGGAGGA